CACAGAUUCAGGAUGCAGUACAGGUUAAGCAGUGUUGGUAAGGAAGCCCCAAGCGCAGGGAAGGGUUGCAAAACCUCCUGCCUAGCAGGUGAGGGAAGGAAUGUGAUGAGAAAUGUGGGUAGGGGUCAGAUCAGGCAGGGAUGCGGACGCCACGAUGAGGACUUAAAAAAAGUAAGCGAAAGAACGACAUAGGAAAACUGAGGAGAAGGGAAGGCGAAUAAGGCUGGGUAAAGAGCCUCUCAAAUGGAUGACUUCAAGACCCCAGGAGCCAAGAUCUGAGAGUUUCUUUAAUGGCAUCAAUGGCCUGGCAGGGGGAAAAUGAAAGAGGAGGAAGAGAAACUUUAGUCUUUCCCGCCCACCCGGAGGUCCAAUUUGUCCCGAAGCCGCGGAGGAAGGGUCCUGUGAAUACCUCCAAGCUCCGCCCCCUCCGAGCCCCGCCUACAGGGCUGGGCUUCAUUGCACGUGCUCACUCGGCUCCUUCGCGACCUGCCUCCUUGGGAAGACUCAUUGUUGGGGCGGGGGGAUACGAGGAGUCUUAGCGAACACUGGCCAGGGAUAAGUCAAAAUAAAGAGAGGCUCCUGAAG
rnacentral:lncRNA from 1 species